GAUUAUGGCUCAGGAUGAACGCUAGCGGCAGGCUUAACACAUGCAAGUCGAGGGGCAGCGGGAUGUAGCAAUACAUUGCCGGCGACCGGCGGAUGGGUGCGUAACGCGUAUGCAACCUACCUUAUACAGGGGAAUAACCUUUCGAAAGGGAGACUAACACCCCAUAGUAUUGAUUUAAGGCAUCUUAGAUUAAUUAAAUAUUUAUAGGUAUAAGAUGGGCAUGCGUAUGAUUAGCUAGUUGGUAAGGUAACGGCUUACCAAGGCGACGAUCAUUAGGGGUUCUGAGAGGAAGGUCCCCCACACUGGUACUGAGACACGGACCAGACUCCUACGGGAGGCAGCAGUGAGGAAUAUUGGUCAAUGGGCGCAAGCCUGAACCAGCCAUGCCGCGUGCAGGAAGACGGCCUUAUGGGUUGUAAACUGCUUUUACAUAAGACUAACCGUAUAUUUGCGAAUAUACCUGAAUGUAUUAUGAGAAUAAGGAUCGGCUAACUCCGUGCCAGCCGCCGC
rnacentral:rRNA from 1 species